rfam:Ananas comosus cultivar MD2 ACMD2_Scaffold_266, whole genome shotgun sequence.
AAGGUAUGGUGCAGCCAAGGAUGACUUGCCGACGCUUCAAUUACUAGAGUUUUCAUUCGAAAAUUCUAGUGAAAUCUAAAAAUAUCGGCAAGUCCGUCCUUGACUACAUCUUGCUUUCU